rnacentral:lncRNA from 1 species
AUGUUGAGUCUGCAGCACCCCGACACAGAGGAGCCCCUGGCUCUGCAAUGCACUUACAAACCUCCACCCACCAGAGCCUGCGUUUCUUCACGUCUCGGUGGCACAGGCAGGUUCCCUCCAGGCUCCCGUGCUUGGAAAGGAGCGGAGAAGAGGAGUGGAGGCCCUGAACGCUGGGGCUGUGGGGUGUGUCGCAAGCAGCCCCGGGCUGUCCAGCUUCAGUGUAACUUUGCACUGUUACACAAGACAGACAAAAGACGUGGUAGCAGAGGAGGGGCACUCCUGAUAUGCUUUAAAAAUGACAAGAAAGCGUGCUCAAGAGAAAACACGCAGCCGACUGAAGGAAAAGGACGAAGCUGCCUUUUCUCUCUACCCCACGGCUGGCCUCAUGCUCCGGUGUGUUUCCAUGGAGGCUGUUGCUGUCACUGCAUGGCUCAUGCUAGAGUGUCACAUUGGAUGGGAGCCAGCUCAACAAGAAAAAUAAAGAGAGUGGGCUGAAGGAAAAGAUUCCCUGAUCGUCUGUCUAAGAACAAACAACUGGACUAUACAAAAUACAGGAAAGCACAAAUGUUGCUUACAUUAUGAAGCUCUGAUUUUCAUACCUGAGGAAUAUUACUGUCGAUGCUUCAGUGAGUCACGUGAGAUGUGGUAAUGUCACUUGUGAGUCACGUUUCUGUGUUUCAAAUUGGCCAUUUUGGUUAAUGGCCACCUAGAAGUUGACUGUAAGAUACCCUAGCAUUUGAUGUGACAGGCCCAUACAUAUCAAUACGCUUUAUAACUAGAUUUAAAGAAACAGAAGCUGAUGUCCUUGCAGCAAACAAUUUGCAAUCUAAAGCUUGAUGACCAUGGCUCUCAGAAAGAAGGGAAAGCACCAUUUACUUGUGUUGAGCCUUACACCAAUUUGGGCAUACAAGGAGCUGAGGAAGUACUUGGCAGAGGAUCACAAGCUGGAUUGCAAGACAGCAACCGUAUCCGAAAGGCUGUAUCUGCUGAUGUGGUCAAUUCCUUGGAAGAAAGAAAAAAGAAAAAAAAAAAAAGAAAAACACAUUUACGUGCCUUUAUACAAAAGGGAAGGCUUGUGAAAGAAAUUAGCAACACAAUCCCUCAACUGCAGGUAUUUGAAUUGAUUAUCUGUCAACCCAAAGGUUUCCCCAAGUUCAGCAAAUGAACACGAUCUGUCUUCUAAAAUAUAUCAUGUAAUUUGUUAAAGCUUUUUGUCUAACCAUGCAUCCCAAAUAAAAAAGCACUUAGUUUUUGGUUUGGGUAGUAA